rnacentral:rRNA from 1 species
CCUACGGGUGGCAGCAGUGGGGAAUAUUGGACAAUGGGCGAAAGCCUGAUCCAGCCAUGCCGCGUGUGUGAAGAAGGCCUUCGGGUUGUAAAGCACUUUCAGUGGGGAAGAAAGCCUUGGGGCUAAUACCCUCGAGGAAGGACAUCACCCACAGAAGAAGCACCGGCUAACUCCGUGCCAGCAGCCGCGGUAAUACGGAGGGUGCGAGCGUUAAUCGGAAUUACUGGGCGUAAAGCGCGCGUAGGCGGUCUGAUAAGCCAGUUGUGAAAGCCCCGGGCUCAACCUGGGAACGGCAUCCGGAACUGUCAGGCUAGAGUGCAGGAGAGGAAGGUAGAAUUCCCGGUGUAGCGGUGAAAUGCGUAGAGAUCGGGAGGAAUACCAGUGGCGAAGGCGGCCUUCUGGACUGACACUGACGCUGAGGUGCGAAAGCGUGGGUAGCAAACAGGAUUAGAUACCCCAGUAGUC